rnacentral:tRNA from 1 species
GGGCCGGGAGCGCUGGUGGCGCCGCGGCUCGCCGCUGUGUCUGGGCCGGCUCCGCCCAGGCCACGGUGCUGGUGUCCGGGCCGGCUCC